GCGGGGCCGGGAGUCCUUGCUGUGUAAGGCAGUGUUUGCUUUCAGCGAAUUUAAACUUGCUCGUAGCAGAUCUGAACGGAGCAAAACUGAGGGAGGAGGAAGGGCUGCGAGCGUGGCACGUUCGUGCUCAGCCGUCCGAGUCCCGAUAGCGUCAGCGUGUCAGAACAAAAGUGUUUCAAUAAACCUAAAUGCAAGUUACGUCUCUAUGAAGGACAAAGGCACAUCUGCAAUAAAGGUCACCUCCUGCAUUUUUCCCCAGAAGGAAAGGAUGGCAGUAGUAGCUGAACACUCUGGUCUGAAUUGCAUCCGGGGACAUAUUGACAAGCCCUCCAAAGACUAUGAAAUGAGCAUGGGAUGACUUGCCCUGAUGUAGACGCC